ACAGCAGUCGCCACGGUAAUACGCAGGGUGCGAGCGUUAAUCGGAAUUACUGGGCGUAAAGCGUGCGUAGGCGGUUCGUUAAGUCUGUUGUGAAAGCCCCGGGCUCAACCUGGGAAUGGCAAUGGAUACUGGCGAGCUAGAGUGUGUCAGAGGAUGGUGGAAUUCCCGGUGUAGCGGUGAAAUGCGUAGAGAUCGGGAGGAACAUCAGUGGCGAAGGCGGCCAUCUGGGACAACACUGACGCUGAGGCACGAAAGCGUGGGGAGCAAACAGGAUUAGAUACCCCAGUAGUCCCUGUCUCUUAUAA
rnacentral:rRNA from 1 species